rnacentral:rRNA from 1 species
AGCGAACGCUGGCGGCAGGCCUAACACAUGCAAGUCGAACGAACCCUUCGGGGUUAGUGGCGGACGGGUGAGUAACACGUGGGAACGUGCCUUUAGGUUCGGAAUAACUCAGGGAAACUUGUGCUAAUACCGAAUGUGCCCUUCGGGGGAAAGAUUUAUCGCCUUUAGAGCGGCCCGCGUCUGAUUAGCUAGUUGGUGAGGUAAUGGCUCACCAAGGCUACGAUCAGUAGCUGGUCUAAGAGGAUGACCAGCCACAUUGGGACUGAGACACGGCCCAAACUCCUACGGGAGGCAGCAGUGGGGAAUCUUGCGCAAUGGGCGAAAGCCUGACGCAGCCAUGCCGCGUGGAUGAUGAAGGUCUUAGGAUUGUAAAAUCCUUUCACCGGUGAAGAUAAUGACUGUAGCCGGAGAAGAAGCCCCGGCUAACUUCGUGCCAGCAGCCGCCGUAA